rnacentral:misc_RNA from 1 species
GAAAUGCGAUAAGUAGUGUGAAUUGCAGAAUUCAGUGAAUCAUCGAAUCUUUGAACGCACAUUGCGCCCCUUGGUAUUCCAUGGGGCAUGCCUGUUCGAGCGUCAUUUGUACCCUCAAGCUCUGCUUGGUGUUGGGUGUUUGUCCCGUCUCCGCGCGUGGACUCGCCCCAAAGUGAUUGGCACCCGGCGUACUGGUCCCGGAGCGCAGCACAUGUCGCGCAAACGAGUGCCUUGGUACGGCGGCGUCCAUAAGCCCCUCUCUCACGCUCUUGACCUCGGAUCAGGUAGGGAUACCCGCUGAACUUAAGC